UAAUUUUGUGAGGGCUAUUUUUGUGAAAAAAGUUAAAAUAAAUUAUUUGAGAGAAUUUCCCUUAGGUUUUGUUGCAGUAGAUCAGAUUUCAGUUAAAAGAUUGAGACCAAGAAGACAAAAAAUCCAUAUAUUAAAUAUGCGUGGAGCGAGCCGAAGGAAAACGAUCAACAUCGCCAAGGACCCGGCUGUUCACUUGAUCGCCGGAUCGGACCCGACCUUGUGGGGACGAACUGAUUCGUUCGGUUGGUUCGGGAAGUAUUCUCUCAGACGCUGAUGCACGCUCUCUCUGAGCUUGAAUUCGCUUUUCAUUAUGUCAACAGAGGCGGCCCUUGAGUCGGGUAAUUACAAAGACCGGCUCUGUAUGUCAACACCGACAAUGAUUUCCAGGUAUGUGGGCUCAGCUUCUUAGACUAAAAAUAAAAAAAUUAUGCGUUUUGGGUCUUUUGGAUUAUACCGUUAUCGUUUUCAAAUUGACAUUUGGAUCUUGUGAUCCAGAGAAAAAUGUAUAGAUGAAUUUGGUAGAGAGAAAUGUUAUUAUGAGUCUUUUUUUUUUAAUAAUGUUAUUAUGAGUCUUGUGUUGAUAUUUUUUUUAUUUUCGUCUUGUGUUGAUAUUCUUAUUUCAUUUCUCUCUGGUUUGUGUUAAUGGUGAGAAAGAGAGUUGGCAGGGGUCUCAUACAGUUGGCAUGGCUCUCAUACAGUCUUAUUAUGUUACUAAACUAAAUUAUAUCAUGAAAUUUUAUAAUUCCCAAACUAAACCAGUGAUGAUUAUAUUUUCUCUUAUACAUAAUCUAAUAAAGGCUAUCUUACGAAACUAAUUUUCUGCUGUUUAAUUAUAGUUAUGAGCAAGACUCAACAGACUUCUUAGAUUCCCACAGAUGAUGCAUUCUACAGGGACUGGACAAUAGAAGAGACCAAACAAUACUUGCCGAUGCAAAGGUAAAAUUCAAUGUAAGAUAUCAGAUUGUAGUUAGAGAGAGAGGAUGGGGAGAUAGAAUUGUAUGGCGUUGCCUCUUACGACAUGGGCCUAAAAUGGAAUAUUCUCAAACUAUAUGGCGUGCUUAUAGAGGCGCCGCAGAAUAUCGAUGUGGUGAAAAACGUUCAUGGAUUGCUAGACCUGAUGGAAUUUACUUCGAGAGAAAUGGUGAACCAAAGGGGCACAGAUAUUUUUGGAUUUUUACUAACAAAUGAGUUUUGUCUUCUUAGAAGCUAUUUACAUUUGACACUAAGAUUAAUUUUUUCAUGAGAUAGAACAUCAUAUUAUUUUGAAAUAAUAAUAACGUACAAAUAAAUGUAUUAUAAAUAACAGUUAAUAAUUUAUUCGGUAAUAAAUGUAUGAUAAAUAUCAGUUUAUAAA